UGAUUGAGCCUGCCUAGCUCAAUGGACCAAUAGAAUAGUCCCACAAAUGCAUGCCACGCCCACAUGGCACUCCAGGCAGGCUGUAGCAAACACUGAAAGUAUUUGAAAGAUUUCAAAUAGUAUUUUACACAGGUCUGGUCUGAGGUAGCUAGCCCACCUUCCAUACCAUACAUCCCUCAGGGUCAGGUCUGGUCUGUGAGGUAGCUAGCCCACCUUCCAUACCAUACAUCCCUCAGGGUCUGGUCUGGUCUGUGAGGUAGCUAGCCCACCUUCCAUAGCAUACAUCCCUCAGGGUCUGGUCUGUGAGGUAGCUAGCCCACCUUCCAUAGCAUAUAUCCCUCAGGGUCUGGUCUGGUCUGAGGUAGCUAGCCCACCUUCCAUACCAUACAUCCCUCAGGGUCAGGUCUGGUAUGAGGUAGCUAGCCCACCUUCCAUACCAUACAUCCCUCAGGGUCAGGUCUGGUCUGUGAGGUAGCUAGCCCACCUUCCAUAGCAUUCAUCCCUCAGGGUCUGGUCUGUGAGGUAGCUAGCCCACCUUCCAUACCAUACAUCCCUCAUGGUCAGGUCUGGUCUGUGAGGUAGCUAGCCCACCUUCCAUAGCAUACAUCCCUCAGGGUCUGGAUAACCAGAGGUGGAUGAGAGGAGGGGAGAGGGGAAAAAGAAACUUGCUGACACAUCUUUCUAGAUAUAGCAUAUAGUGCUCUAUAUGUUAUGUGGGUGGGCAACAACACUCUGUGAGAGAGGGAAGAGAGG
rnacentral:lncRNA from 1 species